rnacentral:sRNA from 1 species
UAUUCAAUAAGCAUUUACUAAUUAUAUCACAUGAUUAACUAAAUAGCUACAAGAGAUACAAAGAUGAAUAAAACACAGUUUGUGCCCACACAAGGAAACAGGAAGGAAACAGACCCAAGGAAGCACCAUUGCAGUACAAUGGACAGAGGACUAAUAGUGUCACGUGCUGAUUCUGUGAUGAGAACCCAAUGCAGAGUUUCUCUUCCAGGACCUGAGCAGCUUGACCUCAAAUGCAGUGAGUUCUGUUACUGCAGGAGCAGGCCUCUUCCUCCUUGCUGACAGCAUGGUAGCCCUGAGGACUGCCUCUCAACAUUGUGGCUCAGAAACGGAUUAUCUAUCCUCAUUGCCUUAUUCGGAGUACUAUUAUCCAAUAUAUGAAAUCAAAGAUUGUCUCCUGACCAGUGUCAGUUUAACAGGUGUCCUAGUGGUGAUGCUCGUCUUCACUGUGCUGGAGCUCUUAUUAGCCGCAUACAGUUCUGUCUUUUGGUGGAAACAGCUCUACUCCAACAACCCUGGGAGUUCAUUUUCCUCGACCCAGUCACAAGAUCAUAUCCAACAGGUCAAAAAGAGUUCUUCACGGUCUUGGAUAUAAGUAACUCUUGGCCUCAGAGGAAGGAAAAGCAACUCAACACUCAUGGUCAAGUGUGAUUAGACUUUCCUGAAAUCUCUGCCAUUUUAGAUACUGUGAAACAAACUAAAAAAAAAAA